GCUCAUUAAACUCUGGGUCUUGAUUUAGAAAUCACCAAAAGAACCUCACAGCCCCGCUAAUCGCUUGGUCAUGCUUGGGAGACACUAAGUCAUCACAGGCCAUGACAUGGUGAGAACAGGGUGCCAGGGGUUAGAUGAGGAAACAGAGGCACAGUUUGAGUGACUUGUCAAGCAGCUAGUAAGUAGGUGAUCCUGGAUUUUGAAAUCAGAUGUUGUGAUUCCACUAUCCUGCAUUAUAUUGUCUCUCUGAUAUCAUGGCCAGAAGACCCAAGAAUCUAAGAAUCUUGGCCAUGAUCAAGCUUCCCACCUCUUGGAAUCCCCAAGGGAUAUUUGUGAAGAAGACAGUGACUGGCAAAUGGCAGAUUCAGGUGUGGAAUGGGGGAUGGAAGA
rnacentral:lncRNA from 10 species